AGUUAAUACUUUUGUGAGGAGUAAGGAGGGGAAGAUCUUGGCUACUAUUACAACUAUAAUUCAUAUCAACAAUGACUUUCGCAGGUAUGAAUUCAUUUCUAUUAAUUUAUUUUAUUGUGAUUAUCGAUUCUUAACAUGAUUAAAACUAAAAAUUAACAAUUGGUAUCAGAGCAGCAUGUUAAGAUCGAAAUCCUUCAUGAAUUUUUUUUUUUUUUUACUUUUCCGUGCAUAUAUAUUUUCGUGUAUGCAUGUGUAUAAUUCAGCCAUCAAAACCCAAAUCUGAUAAAUCCAAAAACCUUCUCUUCCAGAGAAUAAUUUUAGUAUAUCAAUCAUAUAAAAAAAAUAAAAAAUCAGUGGAUAAACAAGAAAUCAGAAGUUUGAGCAAAAACACGAUCUAUUAGGUAGAAAACUUUUAUUUUUAUUGAUCAAAUCUAGCUAUCUGCUUGAAGAUGAUUGGAUAAAUAAUUCUUGCUCGACAGAUUAUACUGGGCGUCGUAGAGAUGCUUUUUAUUUUGGCUUUGAGAAGUUUAUUUGGCUCCAGUAUUAUGGUGGAGACCUUGAGGAUGUUUUAACCUCUGACUACGAUAAGAGAAUGUUCUCUUAACUGGUGCAUAGUGGUAGUUUAGUAAACAAAAUGGAAUUUUAUGGAUAUUGAAUAUUUUAAUCUUAGUUUUCUCAUAGUUUCUGUAGGUACUUUUACCAGGGAAUUUUAAUGGUUUGCUGGAGUUAUUUUCUUCUUUGAAUUCUCCGACAUUUUCGAGAACUUCUGACUAUUUGUUUAUCUAUUGAAUCCUAAUGUUUAGACAUUGGGUUCCCUUGAUACAAUGAUUGAUAUAUCCACAAUUAAUCCAAGACUCUUGUGAAGGAUUGAAUGUUUAGUGCGAUUUUGGGAGAGAUGUAGGCGGGGGCUUCUGUUGUAAAUUGCUAAUUUUCAAGCCCCUGUUUACAAUUACAGAUUGAGGGUUAGGUUUUGUAAAUUAUAUAAGGAGGGCCUGUCAUAUAAUUUAUGCAGUUGAAGGACCUGAUUUUAAUUUAGGGUUAAAAUGUAAUUUUCAAUAAGGGGCUCUUAAUUUGAACUUAUAAAUUUCUGACCCUAAAUUUUAAUUUUGACACAGUUAAAAAUUUUUAUUUGAUAAUUGACUCAUUUGGAAUAUAUUAAAUAAUAAUAAUAGUUUAGUUGACGACUUUUUGUAUUAUUUCAUUAAAAUGAUUAUGUAUUUAAAUGUUGUCAUUUUUUUUUGCGUGUUUAAAUUUCAAUUUUUAUAAUAUUGAAAUGUUGAAUUUUGUUGCCAAUUUCGUCUCCAAAUCACAUAUAAAUUUUGUUGUUUAUCGAUUAAUAAUUGUGAUUUGUUAUAUAAUUAUUAUUUUGUGAUUGAAUUUUCAUGGGCAUUGAAACGAUUCUUAUUUUCCCACUAUGAGAGAAAUAUUUUAAAAUAAAAAUGGGUGGUAACUGCCAAAGUGGCACACUCAUUAUUAUUUAUUCAGUUUUCUCUACAAUAAAAAUACAUAUAUUUUUGCCCAACAACUUUUGAUUUAUUGCAUAUAAUAUCUUGCCCAAAUGUGUUAUUAUAUGUAAUAUUUUUGGAAAAUGGCAUGAGAAAAUUAACGAGCUUAUUUUGGUUUAGAAAUUUCCUUAUGCCCAAAGGUGUUGGUUAUUUCGAAAAUCAAUGUAAUUUUGUUAACUAACUACGUGAUGUGUUUUAAAAGUACCUUAUAGUAUGUUGUAUUGUCAACCCAAAUGUGACUUUAUGAUGAGGCACCUAGGCUCUUACUGUAAUAAAAUUUAUAUGUUUCGAUUUAAAUUACGGAUUAUCUAAUUAAUUGCCCAUAUUAAUUAGUUGGAUAUUUCAUCAUCCAUUUGAUUGCAUGUAUUAAGUUUGAAUGCUAUUAAGAGUGUGAUAUUUUAUGUUUCCACAGUUUAUAAUGCAUCAUCUCUUUCGAAUCAAUUGUCUGCUAUUGAAACAUUGACUGGGAAUAACUAUGUAAGAUGGAAACGAGACGUAGAAAUAGCACUUGGUCUUUUGGGCUUGGAUUUUGCAAUAGAGAAAAACUUGAAAAACCCACAGAUAAGAGUACCGUUGAAUAUGUAACCAAGCAUGAAAAGUGGGAAAGGGCUAACAAACUCUGUUUGAAAAUCAUUAAGCGAUCGAUAUCUAAUUACAUUCUAGGUGCCAUCCCUGAUAAUGAAAAUGCCAAAAGUUUUAUGGAUGCCAUAGGAAAAAAAUUUAUUGAGUCUGAUAAAGCGAAACUGGGGAUCUGAUGGAUAAAUUUAUGAGCAUGAAAUAUGAUGGUACAAGUGGUGUUAGGGAGCAUGUCAUGAAAAUGAUAAAUAUAUCAUCUAAGCUAAAGGCUCUUGACAUUCCCAUUGUGGAGCCUUUCCUGGUCUAUCAUGUUUUGAAUAGCCUUCCUAACAAGUUUAAUCAGUUUAAGGUUGCUUACAAUACUCAGCGGGAUAAGUGGAAUUUGAAUGACCUCAUAGCAGUGUGUGCCCAAAAAGAGUAUAGGAUGCGCCGUAAAACUGUUGAAAAUAUGCAAUUAGCUUUUCAGCCAUCACAGAAUAAGGGGUCUUCUCAUAAUCAUAAACUUAAGUUUCGUAAGGGUAAUAAGUCUCACCAAAGUCAACAGAAUAAAAAUUUUAGUGUUCGAAAAGGAGUUAUAAAGAAAAAUGAUCAAUGCAAGUUCUGUAAAAAUAAGGGUCACUGGCAGAAAGAUUGUUUUAAGUUCAAGACUUGGUUGGAAAAGAAGAAGAGUUCUCCAGGUAUUCCUUUGGUCUUAGUUUGUUUUGAGUCUUCUUUAGUAGAUGUACCUUUGAAUUCUUGAUGGUUAGACUCGAGAGCUAGUAUUCAUAUUGUGAAUUCCUUGCAGGGGUUCAUAAGCAAACGGAGGCCAAGUGAGAAUGAAGUAAGCUUGAGCGUUGCAAAUGGAUUUCAAGUGAAGGUUGAAUUCAUAGGAGUAGUGAAGUUAACUUUAGAGUCUAGUUUUUAUCUUGUUUUGGAAAAUACAGUUUAUGUACCGCAGAUAAGACGA
rnacentral:lncRNA from 1 species